UACGUAGGGGGCAAGCGUUGUCCGGAAUCAUUGGGCGUAAAGAGCUCGUAGGCGGUUUGUCGCGUCUGCCGUGAAAGUCCGGGGCUCAACUCCGGAUCUGCGGUGGGUACGGGCAGACUUGAGUUCGGCAGGGGAGACUGGAAUUCCUGGUGUAGCGGUGAAAUGCGCAGAUAUCAGGAGGAACACCGGUGGCGAAGGCGGGUCUCUGGGCCGAUACUGACGCUGAGGAGCGAAAGCGUGGGGAGCGAACAGG
rnacentral:rRNA from 1 species